UACGUAGGGGGCAAGCGUUAUCCGGAAUGAUUGGGCGUAAAGAGCGUGUAGGCGGCCAGAUAAGUCCGCUGUGAAAUCUCGAGGCUCAACUUCGAGCUGUCGGUGGAAACUAUCUGGCUAGAGUCCGGAAGAGGAGAAUGGAAUUCCUGGUGUAGCGGUGAAAUGCGCAGAUAUCAGGAAGAACACCCGUGGCGAAGGCGGUUCUCUGGGACGGUACUGACGCUGAGACGCGAAAGCGUGGGGAGCGAACAGG
rnacentral:rRNA from 1 species